rnacentral:tRNA from 2 species
AGGCACAUAGCUCAGUUGGUUAGAGCACCACCUUGACAUGGUGGGGGUCGUUGGUUCGAGUCCAAUUGUGCCU